rnacentral:rRNA from 1 species
CUAAGAAUAUUCCGCAAUGGACGAAAGUCUGACGGAGCGACGCCGCGUGGAUGAUGAAGGCCGGAAGGUUGUAAAAUCCUUUUAAGUAUGAGGAAUAAGCAGUGUGAGAGAAACGCAUUGUGGUGACUGUAGUACUUGAAUAAGCAACGGCUAAUUACGUGCCAGCAGCCGCGGUAACACGUAAGGUGCGAGCGUUGUUCGGAAUCAUUGGGCGUAAAGGGCAUGUAGGCGGUCUGUCAAGCCAGGCGUGAAAGCCAGGGGCUCAACCCCUGAACUGCGCUUGGAACUGGCGGACUGGAGUCGCUGAGG